GCAUUGGUGGUUCAGUGGUAGAAUUCCCGCCUUCCAUGUGGGAGACCUGCAGGAGACCCAGGUUCAAUUCCUGGCCAUCGCA
rnacentral:tRNA from 1 species